GACGUAGGGCGCGAGCGUUGUCUGGAUUUAUUGGGCGUAAAGAGCUCGUAGGCGGCUUGUUGCGUCAGCUGUGAAAACCCGCAGCUCAACUGUGGGCUUGCAGCUGAUACGGGCAGGCUUGAGUUCGGUAGGGGAGACUGGAAUUCCUGGUGUAGCGGUGAAAUGCGCAGAUAUCAGGAGGAACACCGGUGGCGAAGGCGGGUCUCUGGGCCGAUACUGACACUGAGACACGAAAGCAUGGGGAGCAAACAGG
rnacentral:rRNA from 1 species